UACGGAGGAUGCAAGCGUUAUCCGGAAUGAUUGGGCGUAAAGCGUCCGCAGGUGGCUAUGUAAGCCUGCUGUUAAAGAGUGAGGCUCAACCUCAUAAAAGCAGUGGAAACUACAUGGCUAGAGUGCGUUCGGGGCAGAGGGAAUUCCUGGUGUAGCGGUGAAAUGCGUAGAGAUCAGGAAGAACACCGGUGGCGAAAGCGCUCUGCUAGGCCGCAACUGACACUGAGGGACGAAAGCUAGGGGAGCGAAUGGG
rnacentral:rRNA from 1 species